rnacentral:rRNA from 1 species
GUCAACUGCGGGGCAGCGGCGGGGGUAAUACGAAGGUGGUAAGCGGUGUUCGGAGUUACUGGGCGGACAGGGAGCGGAGGCGGUUGGAUAAGCCCUCCGUGAAAUCUCCAGGCUUAACCUGGAAAGUGCAGAGGGGACUGUUCAGCUAGAGGAUGGGAGAGGAGCGCGGAAUUCCCGGUGUAGCGGUGAAAUGCGUAGAGAUCGGGAGGAAGGCCGGUGGCGAAGGCGGCGCUCUGGAACAUUUCUGACGCUGAGGCUCGAAAGCGUGGGGAGCAAACAGGAUUAGAUACCCGAGUAGUC